AAACCGCUGCCCGGGGCCGAUGUCAGCCGUGGGAUUUCGAUGGACCACUAGCGCAUGCGCACCGCUGCCCGCCGCCAUGAUUGUUGGGGCACUCAGUCGUGAGCUCUUACACAGUGGACGUGUGGAGCGGCCAAGUCUGAGAUCAGGUCGUGGACAAUUAAUUGUCAAAUGGAGACACAAGUCACUGCAGAUGCUGGAAUCUGGAGCAACAGGCAAUCCGCUAGAGGAACUCAAUGGAUCAAGCAGCAUCUGUAAUGGGAAAGGAAUUGUGGACAUUUCGGGUCAAAACCCUGCAUCAGGACUAAGAAUGGAGAGGGAAGAUUGCCACUAUAAAGAGAGGAAGGGGAGUGGUGAGACAGUGAAACAAGGAAUUUGGAAAUAUGUUUGAGGCUGCCAUUCUGGUGCAUCCGACCUGCUAUUCCACUGCUGAACUCACCACAAGAGUCCAACAACAAAACACGUGCGUACUGAAGACUGUGGCCAAUGUAGGAGGAAUGACACCAUUCAUAUGAAUGCAUACAGCAGCAGUGAGCAAAAAGGGAGGUAUGGAAACCCUCCAUGGCUACCUACAGGCGACAUUCAAAGGAGGCUGCUAGGAAUGUCAAUGUCAGGAGCAACAUCAUCUGAACUGGUGAUCAGUGUUGAAAAUAAAGAUCUCAAAGGACCAGUCAAGGAUAUGGAUGUCAUUGUCAAAUCCAGCAUCUAUUGUCCAUCCAUAAUUGCCCUGAACUGGAUGGAAACAUUGAACAGUACAGCACAGGAAAGGCCCUUCGCCCCAUGGUGUCUGCGCCGAGAAGUUAAAGGUCAACCACAUUGCUGACUAUGGAAUUAUACAUCGUGUAGACCGGGUUGAAGACCCUUUGUCAGAAUUGGGAAAGAGAGAAAACAAAGUUGCAGAGAAGAUGCGGGAAGACUGGAUUGGAUGAAGAGAAUGAUUCCGACAAGUGGACUCAUUUUGAAGAUACAUCUGCAUUGAUGAUUCUUGUCCUCCUAAAGUAUAAAUUAAGAUAGAAAGGAAUCCCUUGAAGUCCCUCCUCAGAACAAUUCUCCAAGUCUGAGACACAAGAGAUUCUGCAGAUGCUGGAAUUUGGAGCAACACGGACAAAAAGUGCUGGAGGAACUCAGCAGGUGCUGCCUGACCUGCCGAUAUAAUGGAUGUAUAUUAUGUUAUGUUAUAAACAGAGAAAUUGUAUUGGGAAAGAGGCAAUUGGAAAGUUCAAAGGAAAGCGCCCCAAAAAUAGCAUCAAAUUGUAACUUUAUGGCAGAAGAGAUUGGGGCAAAAACAUGUGUAAAAUAUGCAGCAGAAGAGAAAGCAAAUGGGAAGAAUUAAAAUACAGAAGUUCAAGAGUCAAUACAGUGAGAAAAUUACUGAGAGACUUUCUGUUGAAUUGAAAUUCACAAAGCUUUUGGAUGGAUCUCGAUAGAAACAAUAUGAAAAGAUGAAACAAAAUGUGCUGCACAAUAAUACUUGCUUUACUGCAAGAGAACAUAAAGGAGAAAGAUGCAACCAUAACAAGUAUGGAGGACAAAACCGCUGCAUUUCCGCGAGGCAGUGGUUUUUCUUGUGAAUGCUGCUUAAAUGAUGCUAUGUGCCUGUGAACACACACCAGUCCUCACUGAGGGGUCAGUGGUGAGCAGCUUCAAGUUCCUGGGUGUCAACAUCUCAGAGGAUCUAUCCUGGGCCCAACACAUUGACACAAUCAUGAAGAAGGUACGCCAGUGGCUCUACUUCAUUUGCAGUUUUAGAGGAGAUUUGGUAUGUCACCAAAGACUCUUGCAAAUUUCUACAGAUGUACGGUGCAGAUCAUUCUGACUGGUUGCGUCACUGCCUGGUAUGGACACUCCAAUAUGUAGGAUCGAAAGAGGUUGCAGAGGAUUGUCAACUCAGCCAGCUCCAUCACAGGCACAAUCCUCCCCACCACCGAGGACAUCUUCAAGAGGUGGUGCCUCAAGAAGGUGGCAUCCAUCAUUAAGGACACUCGCCUUCUGGGACAUGCCCUCUUCUCAUUACUACCAUCAGGGAAGAGGCACAGGACCCUGAAGACCCACACUCAAUGUUUCAGGAACAGCUUCUUCCCCUCCGCCAUCAGAUUUCUGAAUGGUCCAUGAACCCUACCUUGUUGUUCCUCUUCUGCACUAUUUUGUUUAUUUAGUUAUUAGCAACUUAUAGUAAUUUUUAUGUCUUGCACUGUACUGCUGACACAAAAUAACAAAUUUCACGACAUAGAUCAGUGAUCAUAAACCUGGAUUCUGAAUCUGCUGCAAGUAAUUUUUAUGUAUCUCUGCAUAUGACAAUAAACUCAACUUUGACUUUA